rnacentral:rRNA from 1 species
AUCUGAUCGAUGAAGACCUCGUUGGGUGAAGGGUACCACACUGCCCGCCACACAUGUUCCGGGCCCUUGCAUAAGUGGCACUGUAAGACUAAGUGCUAAUGAUCGCUAAGGCUGAAGUGCGUCAGCUCAACGUCUGACGCUAGGCCUGAUGCUAGCCAAAAUACCCUAAUCGAGGUGGAGCGCCGAACCGUUGGGAGAAACAUGGCUGGUAACAUCGUGCACACAUCGGGACCGGCAUUUCCCGGGUACUACUGAACUGCAGUAGGGGUGGAAGGAAAGGCCAAACAGUGGGCCGGUCAGAGGAAUCUCACGGGUGGGAAUUGCACCGACCACUUGAUUCUCUGUUUCCCAAACGCGAAGCAAUGCCCUGAAAUUGGGGUUGUAGAGAGUGCUUGUGCUCGCCACUGCCUGUCGGGGUACGUUCGUGGGACCACAAGGCUAAGGGCUUCCGUGAGAGCGUCAGUAGAGAACGUUCUAAGGGCCCUGUAACAGUUCCCGGGUCCAUUUCCAAGAAAGCGCCAAACGAAGCUUAAAUUUGGGUGUACGAGGGUGGCCGAACACCGCCCGGGGGCAGUUAAGUAAAACUCAAAAUUGGAACGCCGGCAUGAAGGGGUCCGCCAGCUGAAUAGCGCAAUCGACGCGGUGAUUUUAGAGUUCCUAGGGUUGCCGAUCAGCUGUAGCAAAUGCCGCACCUGAUGGUCCCAUAGAUUAGGACAAACGAGGGGUGCGAAAGCGUGGAGUCACAGUCAUAGUCAGGUCCACCAGCGGAAGCGGUGACCACAAGGAAGGAUAUAGAUGCGUAAAGUGGCGAUGUGUCCUUUAAGGUGGUGGGAGAUGGCAUGAGAUCAGUCCGUCAAUACCUUACGUCAAGGGUCCAACUUCGGGCCCCUUAAAGUGUAGGUAGAAUGGUUUUGGUGGAUGCGGCGCGAAAAUGCGGGUCAUUAAAGGCUAAUUGCGGAACCGUGGGAAAGCAUAAUUGGCGCCCGACGACCCGUGCUUCAAUCGGGCCACGAAAAUAAAGACAACCAUUUGCAGUUUUUGUCGUUCCCAUAAUUGAAUGACGGGAAGGAGGGUUGAAUUUUCACGAAAUGUUAGGCUUCUGGAAGAAGAUGUGUGCGCCGUACCCCGACCCCUAGUCCGAAAAAGCGGGUAACAGGUUAUAUAAGGGGUGACCGACGGAGGGCAUCCUCUCAGACCCUGGCACAGAGUCAAGGUCACACUCGACUAGUAGGGAGAGUCUGUUUGUCAAUGCCUAUGCAGCGGAACCAUCCGGAAAUGGGGUGGUUGAUCGAUUAGGCUGGAUCCGAGUAGACUAUCGCGUUCCGGGCUUCCAGGGGACGAAAGAGGGCAUCCUGCAUACGCCAUAAUCGCAAGGAAAGCUUUGCAACAGGGGGUGAUGGUCCGUCUAAGGAUCCGUAAUGAGUGGGCAGGCGGCGACUUAGUCCCUCGUUCGAGGGUAGUAGGCGAGCUUGAACGUACCAUCCGCGCGCGG